GAUGAACGCUAGCGGCAGGCCUAAUACAUGCAAGUCGAACGGGAUCCAGAUCAAAGCUUGCUUUGGUUUGGUGAGAGUGGCGUACGGGUGCGUAACGCGUGAGCAACCUACCCUUGUCAGGGGGAUAGCCCGGCGAAAGUCGGAUUAAUACCGCAUGACAUCAUUGAGAGGCAUCUUUCGAUGAUCAAAGAUUUAUCGGACAAGGAUGGGCCCGCGUGACAUUAGCUAGUUGGUAAGGUAACGGCUUACCAAGGCUACGAUGUCUAGGGGCUCUGAGAGGAGAAUCCCCCACACUGGUACUGAGACACGGACCAGACUCCUACGGGAGGCAGCAGUAAGGAAUAUUGGUCAAUGGACGGAAGUCUGAACCAGCCAUGCCGCGUGCAGGAAGACGGCCCUAUGGGUUGUAAACUGCUUUUAUACGGGAACAAACGUCGGUACGUGUACCGGUCUGAGUGUACCGUAAGAAUAAGGAUCGGCUAACUCCGU
rnacentral:rRNA from 1 species